GUGAAUCAUCGAAUUUUUGAACGCAAAUUGCGCUUCUUGGCAUCCCGGGAAGUAUGCCUGUUUGAGGGUCAGUAUUACCAAAAAAUCGUUUUGGUUGGAAGUUGUGACGGUUCUGGAGUUUGGGCUAUCUUAACUUUUUUGGUUAAGGUGCUUAAAAUUGAUCUUAUUUUCGUAUUUUUAGACGUACAUAAAUUUUUUUUUUUUAUUCGUUUAUUCUUAUUGUUAUAAUCUUAUUAUAA
rnacentral:misc_RNA from 1 species